UACGUAGGGGGCAAGCGUUGUCCGGAAUUAUUGGGCGUAAAGCGCGCGCAGGCGGUUUCUUAAGUCUGAUGUGAAAGCCCACGGCUCAACCGUGGAGGGUCAUUGGAAACUGGGGAACUUGAGUGCAGAAGAGGAAAGUGGAAUUCCAAGUGUAGCGGUGAAAUGCGUAGAGAUUUGGAGGAACACCAGUGGCGAAGGCGGCGCCCUGGGCCAAUACUGACGCUGAGGUGCGAAAGCGUGGGGAGCAAACAGG
rnacentral:rRNA from 1 species